AGAGGUAUUAGCAAACAAUAAAAACCUACCUUCUUUUUUGGGAACUCCCAACGUCUUUUUCAAAACACAACUAUAACAAACUCCAAAGCAAUAGGGGCCUUUAGCUUCAUGUUCUGCUCCCUUAUAUCCUCCCCCUGCCAGGCUUGUGAGUUAAAAGUACAACAUCCAAUCAGGUAGAUUUAAGUACUCAUUAAAAUUGUGCAGAUAUGAGUGACAUUUCUAUAGACCCCACUUGCCUAAAUGUCAGAAUAUUUGGGGAGAUUUUAUCCCUCUUCUAUCAGUGGUGUGUUAAAAUGUGCUCUUUAGGUUUUAAAUUUAGACAAACCCUCAUUUUACUUCCUCAUGUAGUUUUGUCAGAUCAGCAUGUUCUUCAUGUACUUAAAAUUUGAUAGAUACUGCAGAACAACUGAAGGAAAUAUAGAACAGCAACUACAGCUGAGCCCAACUAUGCCAGCUGUGUAAUCAAGACACCUAUCACCAGUUAUGUGGAUAUACCCUUUAGCACCUUCAGACUAUCUCAAAGAGGAUAUCCAAAGGAUGGCUUUGAGUACCUGCUUAAAAAAAUAUCUGCUGAAGAAAGAAAUACUUAGCUUUCAAUUUGGCGGUCAAAGGUGUUUGAAAGUUUCCACUUUGUCAAGGCUCUCCCACAAUAUCAGCAGCAUGUUUGUGGCAUCUUCUUGCUCCAAGAGACUGCCUGAAGGAGAAUGCCUGGAUGAUUUCCAGAACUUCAAAACUCAGCCAAGUAUGACUUAGAUCUACUGUGAUUCUGGAUUUUGACUCCAUGCAGACUAUGAAAAAGGAAGAUCCUUUCAGUUGAAUCUACAACUCAGUAUUUCAGGACAACAGGCUAGAAACAACUUCUACCACCUUUCACUGGAAUGACAUCCAGAAUAUUGUAAAGAAUUUGAUAUUGUAAAGAAUUUAUGCUGCAAUCCAAAGCACGUCACAAAGACUUAGAAAAUUAAUUGAUUUCUCUAACCCCACUAACACUUCUAUU
rnacentral:lncRNA from 7 species